rnacentral:rRNA from 1 species
GUGGGGAAUAUUGGACAAUGGGGGGAACCCUGAUCCAGCCAUGCCGCGUGUGUGAAGAAGGCCUUUUGGUUGUAAAGCACUUUAAGCGAGGAGGAGGCUACCGAGAUUAAUACUCUUGGAUAGUGGACGUUACUCGCAGAAUAAGCACCGGCUAACUCUGUGCCAGCAGCCGCGGUAAUACAGAGGGUGCAAGCGUUAAUCGGAUUUACUGGGCGUAAAGCGCGCGUAGGUGGCCAAUUAAGUCAAAUGUGAAAUCCCCGAGCUUAACUUGGGAAUUGCAGUCGAUACUGGUUGGCUAGAGUAUGGGAGAGGAUGGUAGAAUUCCAGGUGUAGCGGUGAAAUGCGUAGAGAUCUGGAGGAAUACCGAUGGCGAAGGCAGCCAUCUGGCCUAAUACUGACACUGAGGUGCGAAAGCAUGGGGAGCAAACAGGAUUAGAAACCCGGGUAGUCC